UGGACCUCCCAGGAUGAUAAUCUGUGCC
rnacentral:piRNA from 1 species